UGGACUGUGUGGCAGGGACAUUGGGUAAUUCUGGAGCAGGCACCCCAGGGCAUGAGGACAGCAGGGCAGGCAUUGUGGGGAUAGGGAGCAUGACCCGGAUCCUUCACAGAGUAGAGAACAGGCGGAGGUGAGGGACAGCCCUGGACUUGAGGGCACAACGCUGGCCUUGGGAAGUCAACGUUUUUCGCUUUCAUCGUCUGCAGGACGGUGUUGAGGAAGGACGGACGGACGGACGGACGGACCUUCGCAGUGUUGGGAGGAAGGCUAGGGACAAGGUGUACUUCAUGACUUGUCUGCUCCACUGUGUGGUCCCUUAGUAUCAUCCCUGCAUGGCAGCCUGUGUCAUCUGUCACUGUGUCAUCAUGUCACUGUGCCACCAACGGCCUGACACCGCAGAGACCAGUGCACUGCAGGUCCCACAGCUGAAGCUGGACCCCAGCCCUGUGUGAUCCUUCAGGAGUCACCAGGGUCCUUCCCAGGGCCCGACAUCCAGGGGCUCUUGCACACCGCCACUUUACUGAAAGAACACUUGAAGCAGCGUCGAUGGAAGCGGGCCACCACACAGUGAGCAUGAGGCAGACACCUCCUGCCAUGUGUCCACUUAGAACGACUGCAGUCAUGGGGCGGAUGAGGCUCCGGGCAGGGGAAAGCUUCAGCCAUCUGCUGCUCUGGAGAUUUACAUUUACAGAAACCUGUGUGAGGAAAGGAGCCGAAGUCCGGCGGGACGAGUGUGUGAAGACAAGCCAACAAACAACUCACCAGGAGGGAGGCAGGAGUCAAGUAAGCAUCUCCAGACCCUGCAGGAAGGCUUAAAUAUUGGACUCAGAUGAGUUUUUCCUGGAGGCUAAGAUACAAUGUCACACUGCCUUCAAAUCUUAGGGACUGGUUACUGUCUUACUGGGCCUGGUGAGUACACAGAAAUGGCCAUCUGGGCCAUGGGUGCUACCGAGAGCUGGAACCUCCUUGGCUGGUGUGUGUCCUCCAGCAGAGCAGCUACUGGUCAGGGUCUUGCCCAGUACAGUACCCACUGGCUACUCUCCUGCCUGGAAACCCAAAAAGGAAGAUGAAUAGAGUCCAGAUGCAUCUAAAAGUGGUUUUCUGGGAGCAGCAAUGGACACAGGAUGUUUGAAAAGCAGUUUCCUCUACAGACCUCCAUCUCAUUUCCUUAGGAGAACAGUGGGGUGAUCUUGUUUUUAUGGCUGAGCUCACCUUGAAUUCCAGUGGAGGUUUCUUGG